UGGUCUUGACAUAGAAAGAACUUUCCAGAGAUGGAUUGGUGCCUGCUUGCAGGAGCUUUCAUACAGGUGCUGCACGGCUGUCGUCAGCUCGUGUCGUGAGAUGUUGGGUUAAGUCCCGCAACGAGCGCAACCCUCGUCGUUAGUUGCUAACAGUUCGGCUGAGAACUCUAACGAGACUGCCUACGCAAGUAGGAGGAAGGCGGGGACGACGUCAAGUCAUCAUGGCCCUUAUGGGAUGGGCUACACACGUGCUACAAUGGGGGGUACAAAGAGCAGCCAACUGGCGACAGUGCGCGAAUCUCAUAAAACCUCUCGUAGUCCGGAUCGGAGUCUGCAACUCGACUCCGUGAAGUCGGAAUCGCUAGUAAUCGUGAAUCAGAAUGUCACGGUGAAUACGUUCCCGGGCCU
rnacentral:rRNA from 1 species